rnacentral:rRNA from 1 species
CCUACGGGUGGCAGCAGUGGGGAAUAUUGCACAAUGGGGGAAACCCUGAUGCAGCGACGCCGCGUGAGUGAAGAAGUACUUCUUUACUUCAAACUCUUUCAGCAGGGAAGAAAAUUACGGUACCUGAGUAAGUAGCACCGGCUAACUACAUGCCAGCAACCGCGGUUAUACGUCGGGGGCAAGCGUUAUCCGGAUUUAAUGGGUGUUAAGGGAGCUUAGACGGUUCGACAAGUCUGGAGUGAAAUGCCGCAGCUUAACUGCGGAACUGCUUUGGAAACUGGCGAACUAGAGUGCGGGAGGGGUAAGCGGAAUUCGUAGGGUAGUGGUGAAAUGCGUAGAUAUCAGGAGGAACACCGGUGGCGAAGGCGGCUUACCGGAGCGUAACUGACGUUGAGGCUCGAAAGCGUGGGGAGCAAACAGGAUUAGAUACCCGAGUAGUC